UUGUGGAGGAGGACGCCGAAGGUGGGGCUAAUGACUGGGGUGAAGUCGUAACAAGGUAGCCGUACCGGAAGGUGCGGCUGGAUCACCUCCUAACAGGGAGACAACAAAAUGUUUAAUAUUAUUAUUUUGUCACCUUAGGUCGAUCGGUAUCUCACAUCCUUAAAUUAAUUAAGGAUUUUAUUUCCUAAGUUUUUCUAGGUCACACCCAUUAUUUUUCCUGGGCCAUUAGCUCAGGUGGUUAGAGCGCACCCCUGAUAAGGGUGAGGUCCCUGGUUCAAGUCCAGGAUGGCCCAUAUCUCUAUGUUGGGGGUAUAGCUCAGUUGGUAGAGCGCCUGCUUUGCAAGCAGGAUGUCAGCGGUUCGAGUCCGCUUACCUCCACUGAUUACCACCUCUUCCAUAAUUUGUAAGGAAAUGUUUUGAGUUGUGAUCAAAUUCUGAGCGAAUCUAGCUUCCUAAUGAAAUCAUUAAGAUGCUGGACUCAUUGAAUUAAAUUCAUUGUUUUCAGAGAACCUUGACAACUGCAUAGAUUAUUUUUAAAGACAAUAAGCAUCUUUAAUGAUGCAGAUUUAUUAUUUGUGCGAAUGCAUUAAUAACAAUUCUAUUAAGCUGAUGCUUCAAUUUUUGAAGUUAUUGGUCAAGCUACAA
rnacentral:misc_RNA from 1 species